GCAAACUUGGUCAUUUAGAGGAAGUAAAAGUCGUAACAAGGUCUCCGUUGGUGAACCAGCGGAGGGAUCAUUAUCGAGUUUACAACUCCCAAACCCAUGUGAACAUACCUAUCGUUGCUUCGGCGGGAUCGCCCCGGGCGCCUUGUGUGCCCCGGAUCCAGGCGCCCGCCAGAGGACUUUAACUCUUGUUUUAUUUUUGAAUCAUCUGAGUAGUUUUUUACAAAUAAAUAAAAACUUUCAACAACGGAUCUCUUGGUUCUGGCAUCGAUGAAGAACGCAGC
rnacentral:misc_RNA from 1 species